rnacentral:rRNA from 1 species
GGCCAGCAGCCGCGGUAAUACGUAGGGGGCAAGCGUUGUCCGGAAUGAUUGGGCGUAAAGGGCGCGUAGGCGGCCUGUUAAGUCUGGAGUGAAAGUCCUGCUUUUAAGGUGGGAAUUGCUUUGGAAACUGGCGGGCUGGAGUGCAGGAGAGGUUAGUGGAAUUCCCGGUGUAGCGGUGAAAUGCGUAGAGAUCGGGAGGAACACCAGUGGCGAAGGCGACUAACUGGACUGUAACUGACGCUGAAGCGCGAAAGUGUGGGGAGCAAACAGGAUUAGAUACCCUGGUAGUCCACACGGUAAACGAUGAAUGCUAGGUGUAGGGGGUAUCGACCCCUUCUGUGCCGGAGUAAACACAAUAAGCAUUCCGCCUGGGGAGUACGGCCGCAAGGUUGAAACUCAAAGGAAUUGACGGGGGCCCGCACAAGC